AUCAAAGAUAUUGCAAGACGAGUAGGUCAUAUGUAUUUUUCAGAGAGGGAAUGGCAGGUGUAAAUUCCUAUUUAACAGUGGCUGAAGGCUACCUUGUAUCUCCAAGCUCCAAUAAAGCUUGGCGUUGAUUACGUUAUAAUCGUUGAGAGUAUUUCGUUGUAAGUUCUAUUCGAGAUACAAAAACAAGGGUGGUACCACGAUAAUUCGUCCCUAAU
rnacentral:ncRNA from 1 species